rnacentral:rRNA from 1 species
GGGGGGGGAUGCCAUGGGCGCAGCCUGAUGCAGCCAUGCCGCGUGUGUGAAGAAGGCCUUCGGGUUGUAAAGCACUUUCAGUCAGGAGGAAAGGUUAACGGUUAAUACCCGUUAGCUGUGACGUUACUGACAGAAGAAGCACCGGCUAACUCCGUGCCAGCAGCCGCGGUAAUACGGAGGGUGCGAGCGUUAAUCGGAAUUACUGGGCGUAAAGCGUACGCAGGCGGUUUGUUAAGCGAGAUGUGAAAGCCCCGGGCUCAACCUGGGAACUGCAUUUCGAACUGGCAAACUAGAGUGUGAUAGAGGGUGGUAGAAUUUCAGGUGUAGCGGUGAAAUGCGUAGAGAUCUGAAGGAAUACCGAUGGCGAAGGCAGCCACCUGGGUCAACACUGACGCUCAUGUACGAAAGCGUGGGGAGCAAACGGGAUUAGAUACCCCGGUAGUCCACGCCGUAAACGAUGUCUACUAGAAGCUCGGAGCCUCGGUUCUGUUUUUCAAAGCUAACGCAUUAAGUAGACCGCCUGGGGAGUACGGCCGCAAGGUUAAAACUCAAAUGAAUUGACGGGGGCCCGCACAAGCGGUGGAGCAUGUGGUUUAAUUCGAUGCAACGCGAAGAACCUUACCUACACUUGACAUACAGAGAACUUACCAGAGAUGGUUUGGUGCCUUCGGGAACUCUGAUACAGGUGCUGCAUGGCUGUCGUCAGCUCGUGUUGUGAGAUGUUGGGUUAAGUCCCGCAACGAGCGCAACCCCUAUCCUUAGUUGCUAGCAGGUAAUGCUGAGAACUCUAAAGGAGACUGCCGGUGAUAAACCGGAGGAAGGUGGGGACGACGUCAAGUCAUCAUGGCCCUUACGUGUAGGGCUACACACGUGCUACAAUGGCGCAUACAGAGUGCUGCGAACUCGCGAGAGUAAGCGAAUCACUUAAAGUGCGUCGUAGUCCGGGAUUGGAGUCUGCAACUCGACUCCAUGAAGUCGG